rnacentral:lncRNA from 1 species
AAGAGACUUUCAAAGAUAACUUAAUCACACAUAAAAGAAUUCAGAGGAGAUUCAAAUAUUUCACAUAGAUAAACUUGAUCAUAAACCAACAAUUCAUCGGAUCUCGACAAACACACCACAAAAAGAGUUACAUCGAAUAGACCUCCAAGAAGAUCGAGGAGAACGUUGUAUUGAGAUUCAAAGAGAGAGAAGAAGCCAUCUAGCUAAUAACUAUGGACCCGAAGAUCUAUCGUAAACUACUCACAACUCAUCGGAAGGGCCUUGGAGAUGAUGGAGAGGCCCUCUGUGGUCGAUUCCCCCUCCGGCGGAGCGCUGACGAAGGCUCCAAGAUGGGAUCUCGCGGAUACAGAAGGUUACGGCAGUGGAAAUAGUUUUUCGUGGUGCUCCUGGAUGGUUUCAGGGUAUGUGGGUGUAUAUAGGAGGAAGAAGUAGGUCGGUGGACGCUCGAGGGGCCCAUGAGGGUGGGAGCGCGCCCACCUGUAGGGGGCGCGCCGGGCACCCUCGUGGCCGCCUCCUCUGUUGCUUGACGUCCACUCCAAGUCCCCUGGAUCACGUUUGUUCCAAAAACAUCUCUCCCGAAGUUUUCAUUCCAUUUGGACUCCGUUUGAUAUUCCUUUUUUUCGAAACACUGAAAUAGGCAAAAAAAAUAGCAAUUCAGGCUGGGCCUCCAGUUAGUAGGUUAGUCCCAAAAAUGAUAUAAAAGUGUAAAGUAAAGCCCAUAAACAUCAAAAAUGGGUAAUAUAAUAGCAUGGAACAAUAAAAAAUUAUAGAUACAUUGGAGACGUAUCAGCCCACGACAGCGUCAUGACGAGAGGCUUUUCGCAGGCGAAGACUACUUUUGUUAGGAUAGACUAUACUACUUGUCCCCUUUCAAAUCCCGCUGUUGUGGAAUCCCUUCCCGCUCAUAUUUGGGAAGAGGACCAGGGCGACUAUAUAUAGUACUCAGCCACCACCAUAGUGGAGGGAUCGAUUCCACCCCGAGCACCACACCAGCUCAAGAACACCUCACCUCCUGAGGCUUGUUCAUCCUUUGUACUAGUUCAUCCAUAGCCCCUCGAGGCAAUCCACCACACCACACUAGAGUAGGGUGUUACACCACAACGGUGGCCCGAACCAAUAUAAAUCUUUGUGUCUUUGUGUCUUUGUGAGCUCUACGCGCUAGGCUAGGGAGGAUUGCGAGUAGGCAGGUUGGGCAGGUUGAGAUCUCCGCACACACCCUAGUGUUCGAACCUCUCACAGGUUGCCGGACCCCGAAAUCUGACACAAACCUCUUCACUCCAUGCUAGCGGUGGAGGGCGAUUGCAUAGCUAUUUAUUGCUUGGUAAGCAGAUUUCUUGUGUGGGAAAAACUGCCCAACCUGCAGACUUCCCGCUUCUAGUCCAGAAACAAAGUGAAAUUCAUUGGUGAUGCUCAUAACCUAUAAAAACUUAGGUUCCAGUGGUGCCGCGACCGUCCUGAGGAGGAACAGCUUCUUCUUCACCUAAGUCCAAAGAGGCAGAAGAAUGGUCGUCAUCGUCAUCAUCUAGCGCCUCAGGCAAUCCCUCCAUGUGUUCUCUCAAGUCAACGGCCGUAGACCAAUAUCAUGUGUCAUACACUUGGUUGCCACCUGUCGAUUUCGAUGGGCCGGCGUAGGGGCUGCUGUGAUGGCCAACUCAACGUCACCACCACCGCUACUGCAUCCUGCAUCACCAUUGACGGAAAUGAACUCCACAUACACCAUCGGUUGUCCAAACAUAGAGCAACUAUGAUUGCUUGCAAACCUCAUGUACGACCUCCAUGAGUUUUCUCCUAUGACCGGCCGCAGACCCCAACGGACAACUGUACCAUCUUUACAUCCGACAACGACAAAGGCCUUCAUGGUCAUUUUCUUUCCACGCAUCUCAGGGCCAAACGUCGCUUGGAUGCUUUCUUGACUGCCGCAUAACCUACUUUGAUCAUGUCUCUCACAACUCGCCAACCCGCACAUGAACACAUCGACCCCGGAAGGACCUUUGCGUAUAACGUCCCCAUAGAACACUAACAAAUUUUCCAUUGAAGGACAGUAAAACUAAACCCUUUCCGAGCCCUCUAACGCCCCCACUGAUUUAGGCCUUCAGAUCACGCGUCUCAGCUAUCCCUGACCGUCCAGGGCAAGUUUUCCUCACGUAUGGGUUGAUAUUGGGCCGGAUGUCCUAGGCCGGUAUUCCCCUGGCCGAAUAGAAAGAAUCUCGUUCACUGGCAUGCACUAAUGUCCGAUGUCAAUAUUGAUUCUUCUCCGUGUCUUCAUAGCCUCACCCCCUUCCCGCACCCUUUUGCUCCACUCCACCUGCGAGGAAUUGGAUCUUUUGCUCCAUUUUAUAUGGGGUUUGAUGAUUUGUCCUAUGCUUGUCUCAAUGGCUAGUGGCCCCUGGCCCCACCCGUCAAUUGUGGGGGGGAUGAUCAAAGUUUAGAAGAAAAGUCAAUUUCUCCAUCGGAUCCCUCCAGGUGUGUCACCGUUGUGGUCGUAUCCGCGGAGAGAAAGAGAGAGAGAGGGUGUGGGAAAAUGGCAACAGCGGGCCAAACGGAUCACCAAGCACAUCAUGCAAAGUGGAACCGCUCAGAUCGCAGCCCUUGUAGACCUAGCCUCCAAAUCUCGCACGAAAAAAAGAGAUCAUGGCAAUGGCAGCGGCCGGCAUCACUUCCUCCAUCCAUCCUCUACAGGUCUGUGUAUCUCUCCUACUUCUGUGCAUCCUCCGUCACGGACCAACCCAGUAUCAUUUCGAUCCCUCGUGUGCGAGUGAUCGCCUGACGUGAUGCGGUGCAUGAUUCACCGCGUGCUGGUUGAAAUCUGCAAGGGCUACUAUGGGGUGGCAGCCGCCACCUCUCGGGGAAAACCUAGGCUAGACUCCGACUUCACCGAUCUGGUCCUCUGGCUCCGAUCUCAAUCUCUUCCUGCUUGUUAAGUAGGUCAUCAUCCACAUGUACAGGUACAGCCCAAGAUGGCCGCCGCCCUGCUGCACUUGCUCCAUGUUGGCAGUCCCUUGCCUACAGGUCUAGGGGUAUUCUUGGGUCCUCAUGUGAAUACCCAUGAUUUUUACAAAACAGUGUUGAUUUUGGCAAAAGAGUGACAAUUUUCGAAAAUAGAAAUGAUUUUUUCAAAAUGAAUACACAUGAAUACCCGGUUGCAAAUUCCUGGAGCCUCCACUGCUACAGGUACAGCUCAAGAUGGUCGCAGCCCGGCUGCACUUGCUCCAUGUUGCUAGUCCCUUGCCUACAGGUACAGUUCUCCUUUCCCCUUAUGCAAUAUGCCUAGGCUAUAGGGGAAGAUUUUUGUCCAAAAGGACCCCUUGCUGAACACUAUUGCCAAAAAGGACUACCUGCGGAUAAAAUUGUCAAAAAGGACCCCCUCACUAGUGGCGGCAGGUGCAACAGGCGACACGCGGCACCUGCAGCCACGCCAGGAGGCGGCGGGCCCUAACGCCAGCGCAGGAGGCGGCCACCGAGGCGAACGGGAAUCCCAGCUACUCACCACGCCGCGAUGGAACAGGGCGGGCCAGGUGGGCCCCACCGCCAUCGGGUGAGGCGGCGAUCGCUACCACUGCCGCUCCCUGGCCGAUAGCACCUGCUGUGCGCGGGCCGAGGAGUAGGCCAGGCCGCCAAGGGAGGAGGCGGCAUCUUUCCCUGGCUGGCUGACAGGCCAUGCAUGCCACAGGCCCAGCCGGUGGGCCAUGUCGCCACUGCUGCUGGGGCAGCUUGCUGCACGCGCGACAGACGCUGACGGUGCUGAUUCCCGGGCGCGACAGCGAUGCUGACGGUGGUGAUUCCUAUGCGUGGGAAUGUGUAUGCUUUUGGUUCUUUCACCCGGGAAUCAGUCUGUUUUUUCUACUUUUGCUACAGCGGAUGCGACAGCACCGCGAGAAUCGCUCUGGCUAUUGCUUGAGCGGAUGCGACGGCACUGCGGUAAUCAGUCACUCGCUGCGGGAAUCCGAUGCUGCGGGAACCUGUUGUGUCGACACUACAGGGAUCCUAAAAUUUCCCGCCUAAUUUCGUCCAUUCGCGCUUAUUUUUUCGCCAUCAUUUGUCGUCUAAGCCUAUAAAAGGAGACACCGAGGCUCUCGUCCAGCCAUCCUAUUCCCGCCAACCCUUUCCCUCCAUACCCAAGUCGUUCUUUCCCGCCAUACUCCAGCCGUUCUUUCCCGCCAUUUUCUCCUCUCUAGCUAUAAAACCCCCUUCGACGAUGUGAAUAAGCAGUGUAGUGUAGUGUAGUCGAGAUGUCCCAUUAUCCUUUCGAUCGUAGUUUUCACCCUGGGAUGAGCAGAUGUCUUCUGAGGCUAGCCACUGAUUUCAGGAUGGACAAUAGGAUAGUUCCAUGGGACGAACUCACCGGCAGUGACACCAUAAUAAAUGAGUUGUCCCACAAAUUAUGUAGGUCUGGAUGGCCUGAAAGGACUUAUGAGGAGGUACGUACUAAACUUCUUAGGUUGCAUGAAAGGUGGAAGAAGGUAGUGGAGCCGAAGAGUGAAACUUCCAGAAGGACUGCAACAAAGCAUCCAUUUUUAUGGACUGAGGAAAGCGAGGACGACGAUGAUAUCUUCAUGCCGCUUCCGGGUUCUGCAUCCUCGAAGGGAAGAGUUAUGCAUCGUCCAAGGGCAAGAGUUCCGCAUCCUCGAAGGGCAAGAGUUCUGCAUCGAUGGAGGAUGACGAUGAUGCCUUCAUGUAGUGUUUAAGCUACGUCCUCGAAGGGUAAGAUUGUCGUGGUUCUGAACGCUGGACAGAGGGACGUGGGGGGCGAUGUGUGAGUUUAAUGUCUUAAUUUCUGCAGUUUCGUGCAGCUUUAUUUCACAAUCGUUUGUAUUUUAAUUUCUGCAGUUUAGUGUAGCUUUAUUUCAAUAGUAUGGAGUAUCUUAAUUUCGGUUGUACCAUGUCUUAAUGAAAAAAAAUAUAGUUUUACAAUAAAAUGUAGCAUUUUAUUUUUCUCCACUAAUUUUCAAACAUCGUGCAACAAGUACAACAAGCACAAACUAAUAAUGCAAAUACAUCUGAAUUUAACGGGACUGGUGCAUUUUUAUUUCAGCAUACAUAAUGUUUUAUACAUAAGUCGGAAAGUCUGAUACUGACAUAUGUAGAUACAGUGGGUCGCACACGUAGAUAGAUGAAUCAUUGUAGUCGACGACAGCCACCUGGCCUUCCCUUCGGACCGGAAAGCUCCAAGCGAUUAGGUGGUCGAGUUACACGAAGACUGCGACCAUACUCCAGUUGGUCUUCCUGUGUCUGUGACUCCUGCAUAGGUGGUGGAGUCUGUAAUCCUUGUUGCGAACAUGAUACGUAAUUGUAGGCGUAUGGUUGUUGUGACUCCUCGGGGAUAAACGAUGGGCCAAUAAUGUCCUCUCCGAAGAAUUCCGUAACUAAUGCAUUAAAAUUGUCGCCAUCAUCUUGUGAUGAUCCCUGUAUGCGUGUGUUGAGGCCAGGUUGGGUGCACUCAUCGUCCCAAUUUACAUCAGGUAAGUCCUACACAUAGAAACAUUGUAAACAAAAACUAUUAGAGGAUAAUAUGUAAUAUCACAAUAAAUGCAUUAAAAUGUAAACAUGACUACCUUCAGAUACCUCGCCUGUACUGUCUGGACAUUCUACCUGGUACUGGUUUAAAUCUGGGACACGAGUCUCCUCGGGCAUGGAGAUCCCUCAUGUGGAGAGAUACGGCUGAGAUCCCUCACCUUGAGUGUAUGCGCCAUAUCCUGUGUAGGCAUAUGGGUUUGGGGAAAGAUACAGCUCGAGCAUCGAAUCCAAGCCCAUGCCAUGGUCCUGCGAUGUCUUCCCUUGACGAAGCAGCACCGAAGAAGAGUGAUGUAGUGGCAGAGAUGAGUCAUGUUGUGGCAAUGUCGUUGUAGUACUCGGACUCUCCCCCCACUGCCCAUGGCUUGUACGCGCCUCGCUCGGUCUGGACGGCGGCACCGCACUCGGUCUGGCUGAUCUCGGUACUCACAUGUUGUACGCUCCUGUGACAACGUCGUUGCCUCUACCACAUCUCAACUUUGUUACCGUGUAUUAUUUAAGACGUUUAUGGAAUGACUUGACAGCUGAUCCCCUGGCUGGCAUGCUUUCUAUCAUGAUCUGCGCUAUUUCGUUGGCAGUUUGAAGCUGAAAAAUAUUUGGUUGUUAUUUGGUUGAAAUGAUUAUGAAAUAAUGGACCUGAAAAAAUUACUAGUGAUUACCGUCUGGUCACGAUAGAAAGCUGCAUGAAGCUCAACAUGUCUCCGCAUCUGCUCCUCGUGCGUGAGAUUUGUUGGUAUCGUAGUUGGUUGACUGGCCAGGCUUGUACGCGUGCUGAUGCAGUACCACUGCUUGUACGCUUGAGUUGUACUUCCAUCAUACGGUCUGCAAAAUUAUAUAAUUAGAUUAACCAUUGUGAUGAAAGCAAAGCAUCUUCACGCAUCGUAUGGUCAUCGUAAUAAAAUAAUGUAAAUAAAAUGUACCUAAGUUGAUACACUAUAUCUGCUAGCGCUUCAUUUUCCCACUUGUGUUCCCAUUGAAUGUUGCGUUCCCUCCAAUUGUAAGAACUCCAACCGUGGCCCAUAUUGGUUAGCCUGCAAAUUAUGUAACAAAGUGUGAGUUUAGUAAAUUAAAAAGGACACUAACUAUUUAGGGAGGUCACAUCUUACUUAUGGGUUUCCUCAUCGGUACAUCUUGGAAAAUGUGGUGGAAUCUCCUAAUACAGACCGAACUGUCUCAUGACACACUCCGGGUUGUAAGGCUCAACACACCAUGGGAAUAAUAAGUAGUAGCGAGUCAGCCAGAAUGCACUAUCGGUCAACAUGCCUGCUGUGAUGGGUCGUAUAUCAAAGACCAUCUGUACAUGCUCCUGAGUCCAUGGGUUCCAUGUGACUACAGACUCAUCAAGUACCUCAAACUGCUGGUGGUAUAUAGGGUAACAAUUUUUCCCAAUACUUGGAGACCAAUGUCUCUGUGCCUUUGUCCACCUACUGGCCAUAGUUACACUACUUCCAUCGCUACAGUCGUAUGGGUGUAUGGGAUUUAGUAUAUGAGGUCGUUCUACAGGGAGGUAUUCCCAAGACCACAACUGUAGAAACUCGUAGGGGACACAAAGUAAUGGAGCUUUUUUGCGAAGGAAGUUUUUUGUGUGGCAUCACACAAGCCUCUAUAUGUAUGAGAUAGAAUGGCAGAACCGAAGCUGUAUUUUGGCUGCUCGGGUAAAGGUUCAUCUAUCAUCUUCUCCAUAAUGCAGAUGAGACCAGGGAGAAGUGCGUCCCCAUGUGAAUUUGGAAACAUAACCCCGAGGAGCCCCAACAAAUACGCAAACAGAUGCCUUUUCCUCGUCUCAGAAUCAACGAAGCUAGAAAAAUUACGAAAGUUAUCACGAAGCCGGGAGAGUGGGAUGCCACGAGGGCCACCAGCAUGUCGUGAUUCUGGCAUUGUCAUCCCAAGACGGUCUGAUAUAUUUUGUGCCCGGGAUGUAGACACUCGUGGAGAGACUAACGGCUCACCUCUAAUUGGUAGAGCAAGGAUCAUAGAAACAUCUUUCAGUGUAGGUGCAAGCUCCCCAAAACGAAAGUGAAAGGUGUGGGUUUCAGGUCUCCACCGGUCAAUGAGGGAUGUCAAAAGGGAUGGGUCCGAACGUAACUGGUCUUCGCAUGAUGUGAGCCUAGCAAAAGCAUGUAGUCCAUAAGCGUCAAGGUGAGGAACGAAAGAAUUGUGUAUUAGCCAGGUUUUCUUUAUGGUUCGAAGUCUGAAACUUCGAUAAUCAUGUUCUUUAUUUGGGUUCAGAAAUAGGUGGCAACGGUGGCCAAGUGCCAGUGCUUUUGGAGGGGCCCCAUGAUGUCGGCUACCGUUGCCACCUAUUUUUGAACCCAAAUAAAGAACAUGAUUAUCGGAGUUUCAGACUUCGAAGCAUAAAGAAAACCUGGCCAAUACACAAUUCUUUCGUUCCUCACCUUGACGCUUAUGGACUACAUGCUUUUGCUAGGCUCACAUCAUGCGAAGACUAGUUAUGUUCGGACCCAUCCCUUUUGACAUCCCUUGUUGACCGGUGGAGACCUGAAACCCACACCUUUCACUUUUGUUUUGGGGAGCUUGCACCUACACUGAAAGAUGUUUCUAUGAUCCUUGCUCUACCAAUUAGAGGUGAGCCUUUAGUCUCUCCACGAGUGUCUACAUCUUGGGCACAAAAAUAUAUCACAUCGUCUCUGGAUGACAAUGCCAGAAUCACAACGUACCGGUGGCCCUCGUGGCAUCCCACUCUCCUGACUUCGUGAUAACUUUCGUAAUUUUUCUAGCUUCGCAGAUUCUGAGAUGAGGAGAAGACAUCUGAUUGCGCAUUUGUUGUGGCUCCUCGGGGUUAUGUUUCCAAAUUCACACGGGGACGUACUUCUCCCUGGUCUCAUCUACAUUGUGGAGAAGAUGGCAGAUGAACCUUUACCCGAGCAACCAAAAUACAGCUUCGGUUCUGCCAUUCUAUCUCAUACAUAUAGAGGCUUGUGUGAUGCCACACAAAAAAUUCCUUCGCAAAUAAAGCUCCAUUACUUUGUGUCCCCUACGAGUUUCUACAGUUGUGGUCCUGGGAAUACCUCCCUGUAGGACGACCUUGUAUACUAAAUCCCAUACACCCAUACGACUGUAGCAAGGUAAGCAGUGUAACUAUGGCCAGCAGGUGGACAAAGGCACGGAAACAUUGGUCUCCAAGUAUUGGGAAAAAUUGUUACCCUAUAUACCACCAGCAGUUUGAGGUACUUGAUGAGUCUGUAGUCACAUGGAACCCAUGGACUCAGGAGCAUGUACAGAUGGUCUUUGAUAUACGACCCAUCACAGCAGGCAUGUUGACCGAUAGUGCAUUCUGGCUGACUCGCUGCUACUUAUUAUUCCUGUGGUGUGUUGAGCCUUACAACCCGGAGUGUGUCAUGAGACAGUUUGGUCUGUAUCAGGAGAUUCCACCACCUUUUCCAAGAUGUACCGAUGAGGAAACCCAUAAGUAAGAUGUGACCUCCCUAAAUAGUUAGUGUCCUUUUUUACUAAACUCACACUUUGUUACAUAAUUUGCAGGCUAACCAAUAUGGGCCAUGGUUGGAGUUCUUACAAUUGGAGGGAACGCAACAUUCAAUGGGUACACAAGUGGGAAAAUGAAGCGCUAGCAGAUAUAGUGUGUCAACUUAGGUACAUUUUAUUUACAUUACUUUAUUACGAUGACCAUACGAUGCGUGAAGAUACUUUGCUUUUAUCACAACGGUUAAUGUAAUUAUAUAAUUUUGCAGACCGUAUGAUGGAAGUAUAGCUCAAGCGUACAAGCAGUGGUACUACAUCAGCACACAUACAAGCCUGGCGAGUCAACCAGCUAUGAUACCAACAAAUCUCACGCACGAGGAGCAGAUGCGGAGACAUGUUGAGCUGCAUCCAGCUUUCUAUCCUGACCAGACGGUAAUCACUAGUAAUUUUUUCAGGUCCAUUAUUUCAUAAUCAUUUCAACCAAAUAACAACCAAAUAUUUUUCAGCUUCAAACUGCCAACGAAAUAGCGCAGAUCGCAACGGAAAGCAUGCCGGCUAAGGGAUCAGCUGUCAAGUCAUUCCAUAAAUGUCUUAAAUAAUACAUGGUAACAAAGUUAAGAUGUGGUAGAGGCGACGACGUUGUCACAGGAGCGUACAACAUGCCAAGUACCGAGAUCAGCCAGACCGAGUGCGGCGGCGUCGUCCAGGUCGAGCGAGGCGCGUACAAGCCAUGGGAAGUGGGGGGAGGGUCCGAGUACUACAACGACAUUUCCAUGACAUGACUCAUCUCUGCCACUACAUCGCUCUUCUUCGGUGCUGCUUCGUCAGGGGCAGACAUCGCAGGACCAUGGCAUGGGCUUGGAUUCGAUGCCCAAGCUGUAUCUUUCCUCAAACCCAUAUGCCUACACUGGAUAUGGUGCAUACACUCAAGGUGAGGGAUCUUAGCCGUAUCUCUCCACGCGAGGGAUCUCCAUGCCCGAGGAGACUCGUGUCCCAGAUUUAAACCAGUACCAGGUAGAAUGUCCAGACAGUACAGGCGAGGGAUCUGAUCGGGUAGUCAUGUUUACAUUUUAAUGCAUUUAUAGUGAUAUUACAUAUUAUCCUCUAACUGUUUUUGUUUACAAUGUUUCUAUGUGCAGGACUUACCUAAUGUAAAUUGGGACGAUGAGUACACCCAAUCUGGCCUCAACACACGCAUAUAGGGAUCAUCGCAAGAUGAUGGCGACAAUUUUAAUGCAGUAGUUACAGAAUUCUUCGGAGAGGACGUUAUUGGCCCAUCUUUUAUCCCCGAGGAGCCACAACAACCAUACGCCUACAAUUACGCAUCAGAUUCGUCACAAGGAUUACAGACUCCACCACCUAUGCAGGAGUCACAGACACAGGAAGGCCAACUGGAGUACGGUCGCGGUCUUCGUGUAACUCGACCACCUAAUCACUUGGAGCUUUCCGGUCCGAAGGGAAGGCCAGGUGGCCGUCGUCGACUAAAAUGAUUCAUCUAUCAACGUGUGUGACCCAUUGUAUCUACAUAUGUUAGUAUCAUACUUUUCGACUUAUGUAUGAAACAUUAUGUACGCUGAAAUAAAAAUGCGCCAGUCCUGUUAAAUUCAGAUGUACUUGCAUUAUUAGUUUGUGCUUGUUGUACUUGUUGCAUGAUGUUCGAUAAUUACUGGAGGGAAAUAAAAUGCUACAUUUUAUUGUAAAACUAUAUUUUUUUCAUUAAGACACGGUACAACUGAAAUUAAGAUACAUCAUGCUAUUGAAAUAAGGCUACAUUUAAGUACUGAAAUAAAGCUACACUAAACUGCAGAAAUUAAGAUACAAACGACUGCGAAAUAAAGCUAUAUGAAACUGCAGAAAUUAAGACACUAAACUCACACAUCGUCCCCCAUGUCCCUCUGUCCAGCGUUCAGAACCACGACAAUCUUGCCCUUCGAGGAUGUAGCUUAAAAACUACAUGAAGGCAUCAUCGUCAUCCUCCAUCGAUGCAGAACUCUUGCCCUUCAAGGACGCGGAACUCUUUCCCUUGGAUGAUGCAGAAUUCUUGCCUUCGAGGAUGCAGAACCCGGAAGUGGCAACAUGAAGAUAUCAUCGUUGUCCUCGCUUUCUUCAGUCCAUAAAAAUGGAUGCUUUGUUGCAAUCAUUCUGAAAGUUUCACUCUUCGGCUCCACUACCUUUUUCAACCUUUCAUGCAACCUAAGAAGUUCAGUACGUACCUCCUCAUAAGUCCUUUCAGGCCAGCCAGACCUAUGUAAUUCGUGGGCCAACUCAUUCAUUAUGGUGGCACUACCGGUGAGUUCGUCCCAUGGAACUAUCCUAUUGUCCAUCCUGAAAUCAGUGGCUAGCCUCAGAAGACAUCUGCUCAUCCCAGGGUGAAAACUAUGAUCGAAAGGAUAAUGGGACAUCUCGACUACACUACACUACACUGCUUAUUCACCUCCGUCGAAGGGGGUUUUAUAGGUAGAGAGGACAAAAUGGCGGGAAAGAACGACUGAGGUAUGGAGGGAAAGGGUUGGCGGGAAGAGGAUGGCUGGACGAGAGCCUCGGUGUCUCCUUUUAUAGGCUUAGACGACAAAUGAUGGCGAAAAAAUAAGCGCGAACGGACGAAAUUAGGCGGGAAAUUUUAGGAUCCCUGUAGUGUCGGCACAACAGGUUCCCGCAGCAUCGGAUUCCCGCAGCGAGUGACUGAUUACUACAGUGCCGUCUCAUCCGCUCAAGCAAUAGCCAGAGCGAUUCUCGCGGUGCCGUCGCAUCCACUGAGGCAAAAGUAUCACCGCCGUCAGCAUCGCCGUCGCGCCCGGGAAUCAGUGCCGUCAGCGCCUGUCGCACGUGCAACAAGCUGCCGCCAGCAGCAGUGGCGGCGUGGCCCACCGGCUGGGCCCGUGGCCUGCACGGCCUGUCGGCUAGCCAGGGAAAGAUGCCGCCUCCUCCCGUGGCGGCCUGGCCCACUCCUCGGCCCGCGCAUAGCAGGGCUGUCGGCCAGGGAGCGGCAGUGGCAGCGCUUGCCGCCCCGUUCCGUCGCGGCGCGGUGAGUAGCUGGGAUUCCCGUUUGCCUCGAUGGCCACCUCCUGCGGUGGCGGCAGGGCCCGCCGCCUCCUGGCGUGGUGGCAGGUGCCAUGUGUCGCCUGCCGCACCUGCCGUCACUAGUGAGGGGGUCCUUUUUGACAAUUUUAUCCGCAUGUAGUCCUUUUUGACAAUAGCGUUUGGUAGGGAGUCCUUUUGGACAAAAAAAUCACACGGGAAUGCACGACCAAAACACGAGAAUCCCAAAAGAAAUGGAUGUAGUCACUAGUCACUCUCAUGCAGCUUGCUAGGUCUUAGAAUAUCUCAUGUACGUGGGAGCUUUGACAUGAUACAAGGCCCUUGACAAUUAUCACUGGUAUGCGAGUUCCAUUGUAUCUAUUUAAUCAUUUUUUGCCUGCUUGUUCAAGAUAUUCUAACUAAACAUAAAUUUCUCUUAUUUCUUUUAUGUACAGUUUGAUCGUUUCUUGAAGUGCAAAUUGUAUGUUGGUGAUACUUUUUUAAUUGGUUCUUUCUCUUUUACAGAAUUGAGCAGAAAGAAAAGAAUAUGACUGUUUUGUUUGCUUUAACAAUGAAAGGUUUGAACUUGGAGAAUACUUUGAUUCUGUACAGAAGUUGAUGUUCAAGUUUCUUGUGCAUUUAGAUCUGAGGGGAAACCACAUGCUGAGAAAUUCAAGAAUCAGUUGUAUAACCAGGUUUACUAACACCUAUGCAUUUCUCUUAUUUAUUUUGUGCAUUCAUUUCUAUUUUUAAUUUCUCUCUUCUCUUGAAAUUAGUACAUUAACCAAUCCACUUUCUGAUUUUCUAUGCAGCAACUAUACUAGAAGCUGGCAUGUACAACGAGGAUGGUUACGUGCCUCUUUAAGUCAUCCAGUGUUACAUUAAUUCUUUUCUUGGCACUAAUUUGUUAAAAAUGUAGAAUUCCCUCUUUAAAAAAUGAUGUUAGUGAACAUCUGAAUUUUAAAUUUUUUUUACAUUCCAAAAUAGUCAAGUUUUUUACCUAACAUUUUUUUGGCUCACAUAAUUCUUGAAUGCCUUCCAUGGGAUGAUAGAAAUCUUGCUCAUCUAGCAAAAUAAAAGAUAACGAAGAAAUUUGGAAGUUCGGAAAACUUGGAAUUUCUCGGAGGUAUUGUCAUGGCGGUGCCACGUAGUUUGAGAAAUUUUGCUUUCAACUUGGAUGAAGCUUUGUCAUAAAGGAUGGCACAUACAAUCUUAAAGGCAAGAGAGUUUAGUUGCUUAACUAAUAAGGUUUAUACAUCUUGCGGUGGAUUCAACCUACAAACCUCAUAAAGUGCUCCCCCAGUGUCUGACUAGUCAAACCCUGAAAGCUUUCGCUAAUGGUAUUUAAAAAAUUGCGUGCUUACAUGUUUCCUACAUUUUUUUGGUUACCAUAUGCAUUUCCUUCCCAUUUAAUAAAUGCAUCGCACAAUAUAAAUGGUCAAAUUUUAACUUCUGAGAUAGGGCAAAGUCAAUAACAGUGGAACAUAGUAUGUUAAAUGUUGGUUGCUCUGGCUUAUAUGAUGACAGAUUGCUUCUUGAAAGCUCUUUUUAUACAGAGUAAUGCUUAUAUUGGAUAUUUUAGGAGAGGUUUAAUUCAAUAGAUAUUGUUACAGAUUGUUUUCUUCUGAUUUUUCGAGUCUACCUGAUUUGUGAGUUUAGCACUGUUAACGUUCUCUAAGACUAUUUCAUAGGUGAGCCUGGGUCCAUGACUAAGAUUUUGCCCCGCUAGCGCAGCCUGAGCGCACUAAACAUUACUUUUGUUGUACUAAGAAAAUAUUCAGCCUGGGAGAAUAUAAGUACAGAAUAAUAUUUUCUAGGUUAUGAGCUUAUCCUUUCUGAAGCUUGGCCAGCUUUGAUUAUCAUGAACAUCUAUGACAAUAAUAAAUUGAAUAGUUCUCCUUUUCGGCUAUAUUUGUAGUGGACUUAUUGUUCAUAUGGGUAAAUGUAGUUUACUAAUUCUGUGAGAAGUACCAAGAGGACACAUUGUUACAAUUGGAACAAUUUUUAGCUCCUGACUUUCCUGGUUAAGUUGUUAUCCCAUGGAAUAACUCUCUUUGUUCUGCCGACUCUGACUUAACCAACUUCGGCACUCUCAAGUUCUGCUACAGUUCUCUUCUCUAGCUGCUGAGCUCCCUCAUUUUGUGGGAUUUAGUUAAUCUAUAUGCGUCCCUCUUAUUCCACAAAGUAGAAAGUUGGCAAACUAUUUGACCAUGUGUAGGAUUAGAGGCAAUUAUGAGUACAACACUUGUUUAUUUCGUUACAGCCCAAGCUAAGAUAUCUUAAUUUUAUAAAAGAUCAAAGAUACAUAAUCAGUAAAUCUACAUGCUUUCUCAUAUCAUAUUGCUACAUGUUAAUGAUUCGUGCUAUACUAAUGUAGGAUGUGGUGAACUCCGCCUAUGUUGUCUCAACAUAGCUGGUCCCAACCCCUGGUAAGGAGGAGGGUUGUGAUAGGUUUGGCGAGCCAUCGUAAAAACUCAGCUACUCUUAUGAAGAUGAAACCCAAAAGCCGACUAAAAUGCAGACAUGUUCAACAGUUUGGUGUGGCGAAGAUGCGUAUGUUGAGAUGGAUGUGUGGCCACACGAGGAAGGAUCGAGUAUGGAAUAUUGAUAUACGAGAUAGAGUUGGGGUAGCACCAAUUGAAGAGAAGCUUGUCCAACGUCGUCUGAGAUGGUUUGUGCAUAUUCAGCGUAGGCCUCCAGAAGUUCUAGUGCAUAGCGGACGGCUAAAGCGUGCGGAGAGGGCGGGGUAGACCGAAAUUGACAUGGAAGGAGUUCGUUAAGAGAGACUUGAAGGAUUGGAGUAUCACCAAAGAACUAGCUAUGGAUAGGGGUGCGUAGAAGCUUGCUAUCCAUGUGCCAGAGCCAUGAGUUGGUCGCAAGAUCUUAUGGGUUUCACCUCUAGCCUACCCCAGCUUGUUUGGGACUAAAGGCUUUGUUGUUGUUCUCGUUGUUUUUAAUGUAGGAUGUGGUGGUAUUUGAUCGGAUUUUUUAUCAAAAAGGACCCUCUGGCCAACACAAUUGACAAAGGGACUACAUACAAAUCAAAUUGACAAAAAAGACCCCCUCAGCGGUGGCGGCAAGCGCGGCGGCCGACACGUGGCUCCUGCUGCCAUGCUAGGACGCGGCCGACCGGCUAUUACGUAAUUUCCAGCGCGCCGGGAACCGGGAUGGAACGGGGUCGGGCAUGUGGGCUCCACUGCCACUCGACGAGGCGGCCGGCACUGUUGCUGCCGCACGCAGGCCGACCGCACCUGCUGCACGCACGGCGAAGAGGUGGGCCACGCCUCCACUCCCCGAGGCGGACGCGCUGUUGCUGUUGCUCGCGGUGCGACAACUUCGUUGUGGCAGACGGCAAUGAUUCCCACGCGCGGACGACGCUGAUUUCCACGGGCGGGAAUCCGAUGUCGUGCGGUAGGUUAAUUUUUGACGUCUUGUGCCGACACUCUGCGGUGCUCCUCUGCACUCUCUUUGCUUCCCUGCGUACACUCUCCACUCCACUUUGUCUGGUUCGCAUGCCGUUCGGCGAGAAUCGUUUCUGGCAAUGAUUCCGCUGCGGUGUUGCCCGCUGUUUGAUAAUUGCCACUCCUUUCUAUGCAGACGACACUGAUCAAAAGCAGUGUGUGAUUCCCGCCUAAAGUUUUGUUCAUCGAUUGCUGCAGCCGACGCGACAGUACCGAGGCAUGCCAUGCCGACACUGGUUGUACUGUUUUGUAUCACGCGUAUUUCUCACCUAAAAUUUAGUCCGUUCGUGUCUAUUUUCUUGCCAUCAUUUCAUGAGUCCAAGACAGCAAAAGAAGUUGGCGAUGGAAAAAAAAUAUCCACGCUGGACUCAGUAGAUACAUGCGAUAGUAUUUUAAAUUUUGCAACCAUUUAUAUCUUAAUUUCAGCAGUUUAAUGUAGCUUUAUAUCAGUAGUUAAAUGUAGCUUUAUUUUAUUAGUACAAUGUAUCUUAUUUUCAGUUGUACCAUGUCCAAAUGUCUUAUUUACCUUCUUUCCUUCUUUCUUUCUCUCCCCACUCGAAAACACUUUAAUAAUACAAACUAAUUAUCAAAUGUCGUGCAACAACUACAAUAUCAAAUUAAGAUAGAACAUAAUGCCCAUACAAUAAGACAAUACAAACUAAUAAUGCAAGUACAUCUGAAUAAAUUGUAAAACUGAACUUAAAAACUAAAAAUACAGCUUAAAAACUACAUGAAGGCAUCAUCGUCAUCCUUCGCCGAUGCAGAACUCUUGCCCUUGAUGAUGCAGAACUCUUGCCCUUCGAUGAUGCAGAACUCUUGGCCUUGGUACUCGAUGUCAAGAUAUCGUCUUCAUCCUCGUUGUCCGCGGUCCAUAAAAAGUAUUUUCUGCUGCAAACUUUAGGUAUGAUUCACCCUUACUCUAUUGCUUCAUCCAUCUUCCAUGCAACCUGAGAAGUUCUUUCCAGGACCUUUGAGGAUAUACGGAAAGAACUUCUCAGGUUGCAUGGAAGAUGGAUGAAGCAACAGAGUAAGGGUGAAUCAUACCUAAAGUUUUCAUCAGAAAAUACUUUUUUAUGGACUGCGGACAACGAGGAUGAAGACGAUAUCUUCACGUCGAGUACCAAGGCCAAGAGUUCUGCAUUGUCUAAGGGAAAGAGUUCUGCAUCGCCGAAGGUCAAGAGUUAUGCAUCGACGGAGGAUGACGAUGGUGCCUUCAUGUAGUUUUUAAGAUGUAUUUUUAGUUUUUAAGUUCAGUUCUACCGUUUAAUUCAGAUGUACUUGCAUUAUUAGUUUGUAAUGUCUUAUUGUAUGGGCAUUAUGUUCUAUCUUAAUUUGAUGUUGUAGUUGUUGCACAAUGUUAGAUAAUUAGUUUACAUUACUAAAGUGUUUUCUGGUGGGGAGAGAGAUAAAGAAAGAAAGAAGGUAAAUAAGACAUUUGGACAUGGUACAGUUGAAAAUAAGCUACAUUGUACUAUUGAAAUAAAGCUACAUUUAACUACUGAAACAAAGCUACAUUGGACUGUCAAAAUUAAGAUACAAAUAGUUGCGAAAUUUAAAAUACUACCACAUGUAUCAACUGAGUCCAGCAUGGAUAUUUUCCUUUUCCAUCGCCAACUUCUUUUGUUGCGUUGGCCUCACGAAAUGAUGGCAAGAAAAUAGGCGCGAACAGACUAAAUUUUAGGUGGGACAUACGCGUGAUUCAAAACAGUGCAUCGAGUGUCGGCAUAGCAUGCCUCGGUGUUGUCGCGUCGGCCGCUGCAACCGAUGAACAAAACUUUAGGCGGGAAUCGGGCACAGAAAGCAGUGGCAAUUAUCAAACAGCGGGCAUCACCGCAGUGGAAUCACUACCAGAAACGAUUUCCGCCGAAUGGCAUGCGAACCAGACAGAGUGGAGUGGAGAGUGUACGCAAGGAAGCAAAGAGAGUGCGGAGGAGCACCGCAAAGUGUCUGCACAACAUGUUAAAAAUUCACCUACCACACAACAUUGGAUUCCCGCCCGUGGAAAUCAGCGUCGUCCGCGUGUGGGAAUCAUCGCCGUUUGCCACAGUGAAGUUGUCGCACCGCGAGCAGUAGCAAUAGCGCGGCCGCCUCGGGGAGGGGCGAUGUGGCCCACCUCCUCUCCGCGCGUGCAGCAGGUGUUGUCGGCCUGUACGCGGCAGCAGUAGUGUCGACCGCCUCGUCAUGUGGCGGAAGGGCCCACAUGCCCAGCCCCGUUCCAUCCCGGCUCCCGACGCGCCAGAAAUUACAUAAUAGUUGGCCGGCUGCCUCAGCGCAUGGCGGUAGGGCCCGCCUCCUACUAGCAUGGCGGUAGGAGCCAAGUGUCGGCCGCCGCGCCUGCCGCCACUACCGAGGGGGUCUUUUUUGUCAAUUUUAUUUGUAGGUGGUCCUUUUUGUCAAUUGUGUUUGCCAGAGGGUCCUUUUCGACUAAAAAUCCCGAAGCAACAGUGGAUGUUAUCGUCUAGUAAGCAUCACAAACAGUGCAGCCGCCUCAUAGAGUGGCGACAUGGCCCACCGCCUCGUUGUGCGUGCAAAUGCCAUGUCGGCAACCGAGCGGCAGCAGCAGGGCCCACCUACCUGGCCCCGUUCCAUCCCGGUACGGAUACAUGUUAUACAAUGAUGGGCGCCUUAGUGCGUGGCGGCAGGUGCCACGUGUUGCCUGUCGCGCCUGCCGCCACGCCGGGGGGUCUCUUUUAUCAAUUUCAUCUGCAUGUAGUCCUUUUUGACAAUUGCGUUGGGCACCUGGUCCUUUUCGACAAAAAAUCAUUUGAUCGAAAGAUCCAGGUUGGGAAAGGCAUAUUUCUUUGACAAGCACAAGUAAUGGAAGGACCAAAAGAUCCAGAUUAGGAGGACACCGUUCCAAGGUACAAGCACAUAUCAUGGAAAUAUUGCUACCAGUGGUUGUAAAGUCCACAUAUCAGUAUGUGAUGUCGAUGAAUGAUGUUAUAUCUUCUUGCUCUAAUUUUAUGAUGGUGAAUUGAUGGAUGUUGACUAUUGGACAAGUGGUGCCAUUUAUUUUAGCUUGUUAAUUCCUAAUGAGUAAUGCCAAAUUUUGUCUCGGAUAAAAAUGACUUUACCUUCCAAUUUGGCGAUCAAGGACUCCUUUAUAUACUUAUGGAACUUAUUUUCAUUAUAUUGUCAAAAUAGGUGGGUGUAGCAACGCCGCCAUCAUUGAUCUAUAUUUACAUUUCAAAUAAUUAAUAACUGGAUAUUUUAUUAUUAGCUGAUUAAAACUUUAAAUAAAAUAAUAAGGGAAAAACAUUUUUAUAUCCAUAUUUACGUUUGAACUAAUCAGUGCUUUUGUAAUAUCAUUCGGUUCGACUCUAAACAUAAUAAUACAAUCAUAACACUUUAAUAAGAUAUGAUUAAAACUUUUAGUAUAUUUUGAUUUUAAUAACAUUUUCAUAUCAUCCAAUAAAAAUAGUUUAUUUACAAAUAAUGAAAUGAGAAUACAUUUUAAUAACCGUAUUUUCAUUAGAAAAUAAUCUACUUUUUUAGUAUCAUUCGGUUGGACCUUAAACAUAAUAGUAUGAUGAUACCAUUUAAAUAUCAUAUGACUGAACAAAUAACCAUAUUUCCACUAGAAAUAUUUGCAGCAGCAGUAACAUCAUUCACAAUAGUACAUCAAUAUAAAAAAUAUUUAAAAAUUACACACCAUCAUUUAUACCUCAGCUUAAAUAUAGAUGUUGUUUCGAAUAAACUUAAGCGCCGCAAUAGUUCAAAAAAAAUCCGUCAGCAUGAACAUAUCACCGGUAAUAUAUCAAUGGAGUUAACCUAUUAUCACACGAACAUAAAUAUUAGACACGGAUUUUUUUUCUGCUAUCAAAAGCAUCCAAAUGGCACUUUGCAUGUAUGUGGUCGUCACCUCAAAAGGGACAUCGAAGAUCGAAACACAAUUUCUUCAAUCACGUCAUCUCAUCAUUGUUUGUUACUCAGAUGAUAUUUUUUUACCUAAUUACAUACAUCAUUAAGGAUAUUAGCAUCUAAUCUUAAUAUACAAAACUUAGAUUAUUGCGACAUACAAAAAGUAGACCUACGGUUUCCUAACUAUAAAAAUUAUUAAUAAACAUACCACAUACCACAUGAAAUAGCAUCACUUUCUUUUUGCGAAAGAAAUAGCAUCACAUUUAAUCAUGCAAUGACCAAUUAUGGUACAAACUUUUUCUUAAUUAGCAUAUUAAGAACUUUUCGCAUGUCAAACUGAAUUAAUGCAUUUGAAAGGCCUAACGUGAUCUACAAUACCGUCAAAUAUUUGUUGUCCAAAUUUUGGCUCUAACCCAACCUAAACGUUCAACAUAAGUACUAAUUACGACGUAAUAACAAAAAUAGCAACAUCUUGCUUGUCAAAAAAAAUUAGUAAUGGAUACAGCUAACAUUGAUCUACGACAUCUUCAACUUACACGUGUGCAAAAAAUUACUAUAAAUGCAACAUAUGUCAUCUGAAAACUUUUAUAACUUCUAACAAUAAACAUCAUAUAGAUAAUGACGGGCUAAAAAACUAACUAAUUUUAACCGUGCAUGCACAAGAAAAUUUAUGUAUCGCAAAGCUCAUACCUUGAUCUUCAACUUCGUAGUUCACUUCGCACGGCAAAUCCUACUCCAGAAGCUCCAGAUGACUCCUUAAAGUGAUGAAAUCAUGCCUAAAACAACAGAGAAUACAUACUUAGGGAAUAAAAACAUCAUGCAUGCGAACGAAACCAACAAAAACGGAUAGAUCUUACCUUGAUCUAUCUUUUCUUCAACUAAAACUUCUUCUGAAUCGGCCUUCAAAUCGCUCAAAAUCGUGAUCAAAGUAGCUAUUUAAGCUGUCUUUCUCAAUGUGCUAGGGUAGAGCAGAGAGAGCAGGGAGGAGAGGAGAGGAGUGAGCGGGCUGCUGCGCAAAUGAGGCACAUCCUGCCUUAUAACGAGAGAAGUGUCGGCAGAACGGUACAAAAGCCACCAACCGACAGCCCGCGGUGCCGUCGCGUCGCGCGCAGCAGAAACAGGGCUGCCGCCUCAUUUUGUGGCAGCAGGGAAGAG